GAUGUUGGAACUCCAGGGAAGCUGUAAAAUUAGAAUUUUUACAAGCCUUAAGAAAUAUACUCACUCUGGCUGCUGUGUAUAACCUCAGCAGAGUGGACACCAGGGAGCGCUGAGCUAGUGAAAAUCCAAUUCAGUUCUUCCUUCUCUAUGAUGUAUUUUAAUGAAGCAAGCAGAUGAACACCAGUGAGAUGUACUUCUACCUCAUUCCUAUCUUAUAGAUGAAGA
rnacentral:lncRNA from 10 species